AUACGUAGGGGGCAAGCGUUGUCCGGAAUUACUGGGCGUAAAGAGCUCGUAGGCGGCUCAGCAAGUCGGUCGUGAAAGCCCGAGGCUCAACCUCGGAACUGCAGUCGAUACUGCUGUGGCUAGAGUCCGGUAGAGGAGAGUGGAAUUCCCGGUGUAGCGGUGGAAUGCGCAGAUAUCGGGAGGAACACCAGUGGCGAAGGCGGCUCUCUGGGCCGGUACUGACGCUGAGGAGCGAAAGCGUGGGGAGCAAACAGGAUUAGAUACCCUAGUAGUCC
rnacentral:rRNA from 1 species